AUUGAACGCUGGCGGCAUGCCUUACACAUGCAAGUCGAACGGUAACGGGCCUUCGGGUGCCGACGAGUGGCGAACGGGUGAGUAAUGUAUCGGAACGUACCUUUCAGUGGGGGAUAACGUAGCGAAAGUUACGCUAAUACCGCAUAUUCUGUGAGCAGGAAAGCAGGGGAUCGCAAGACCUUGCGCUGAUUGAGCGGCCGAUAUCAGAUUAGCUAGUUGGUGAGGUAAAGGCUCACCAAGGCGACGAUCUGUAGCGGGUCUGAGAGGAUGAUCCGCCACACUGGAACUGAGACACGGUCCAGACUCCUACGGGAGGCAGCAGUGGGGAAUUUCGGACAAUGGGGGCAACCCUGAUCCAGCCAUGCCGCGUGAGUGAAGAAGGGCCUUCGGGUUGUAAAGCUCUUUCGGCCGGGAAGAAAUCGUAUGGGUUAAUACCCUGUGCGGAUGACGGUACCGGCAUAAGAAGCACCGGCUAACUACGUGCCAGCAGCCGCGGU
rnacentral:rRNA from 1 species